AGCGAACGCUGGCGGCGUGCUUAACACAUGCAAGUCGAACGUGAAAUGUAGCAAUACAGAGUAAAGUGGCGUACGGGUGAGUAACACGUGGGUAAUCUACCAAAGUGUCUGGAAUAACCGAUCGAAAGGUUGGCUAAUACUGGAUAGUUCAAGCUUGUUAUAAUGGCAAGAUUGGGAAAGGGAGCUGGCAACAGCCUUCGCAUUUUGUAUGAGCUCGCGUCUGAUUAGUUAGUUGGUAAGGUAAUGGCUUACCUAAGACGAAGAAUCAGUAGCUGGUCUGAGAGGAUGAUCAGCCACACUGGAACUGAAACAACGGUCCAGACUCCUACCGGGAGGGCAGCAGU
rnacentral:rRNA from 1 species